CCUACGGGAGGCUGCAGUGAGGAAUAUUGGUCAAUGGACGAGAGUCUGAACCAGCCAAGUAGCGUGAAGGAUGACGGCCCUAUGGGUUGUAAACUGCUUUUAUAUGGGAAUAAAACAGGGUAUGCAUACCCUCUUGUAUGUACCAUAUGAAUAAGGAUCGGCUAACUCCGUGCCAGCAGCCGCGGUAAUACGGAGGAUCCAAGCGUUAUCCGGAUUUAUUGGGUUUAAAGGGUGCGUAGGUGGUUUGUUAAGUCAGUUGUGAAAGUUUGCGGCUCAACCGUAGAAUUGCCGUUGAAACUGGUCGUCUUGAGUACAGUUGCGGUAGGCGGAAUUCGUGGUGUAGCGGUGAAAUGCUUAGAUAUCACGAAGAACACCGAUUGCGAAGGCAGCUCACCAGACUGCAUCUGACAUUGAUGCUCGAAAGUGUGGGUAUCAAACAGGAUUAGAUACCCCUGUAGUC
rnacentral:rRNA from 1 species